UUUCCCCAUGACCACACCGUGCCCCUACGCGCGUCCUCUUCAUUCCCCAACAGCAGGCGGCCGCGCCAUGGCAUCAAGGCGGGGCGCGCAUCGAUCUACGUGCGGUGCGACCUCGAGAGGCAGCUGGGAUGGUGGCGACGCCGUCGGCAUGGAGAUGGGCCAGCAAGCAGGGACAGGGGAGGUCACGUACAGCCACCUCGACCACAGAUCCAUCCGCGACCGGCUACCGGCGACCAACCACCAGCAGCUAGAAACGUCGGUGGGCAGUUGUGGCGCCUGACCGCAUAUACUCCUCUACAUCCUCUUUCUUUCUCUGGCCUCUCUUCUUCUGGAUGGGGCAGGGGAGGGUGCUGACCUUCGCUGGCGCGCCAUUGGCUACACGACGACAUGGGCAUCCCUACCAGCCUCGGGUUGUAGAAGGAGCGGCGGGGGUCGGGGUGAUGAGAACAGCAGCGCGCCAUUCCCUGACCACCGGCAACCAGUUCUGAGGAGGACAAAAAGCAAGUCAGUCCUCACAUCUGAGCCUUCUUUUCCUAAUUUGCUUUCCGGAUACGUCACUAGGCAUAGUCGUGAAUUUUACAGGGGAGUGAAGCAUACCAGCUGCAUGUUUCCUAGGGAUUCUAUAUGGUGCUGCUGGUAGAUGAGUCAUUCCUGGAUGUUACCAAGCCUUGUGGAAAACCUCAGCAUACUAUGGCACCAGAGCUUCCAUUGAUUUUACUAUUUUGCCUGCUUAAAGUCUGUGUUAUGUGUUCAUCAGGAUACAUCUUGCACCGACGAGAUCAGAAGGUCCAGGUCAUUGUUUUGGUA